AACCGAGGCUCCUGCACUCAGCCUGCGCGUCAUGGCGACCACCGCCUAUGCCCCCACCUCAGCGCUCAACUGACUCUCUUCCCCAAAGGAGUCCGCUCCAGUCUACCGUGAACCUCACAGAGUCAUCAGAAUCCAGUGACAAAAGACAAGUCAAGAAAAGACGACUGGCAAUGGCCCAGCAAUAUGAGAGUAAAGAAAGAGACAAGACUGGCCUUCAGAAAAUUGCUCCAAUCUCCAUUGGAAUGGGAAGAGCGUUAGUCUGGAUGAUAUAUGGCUGUGAAUCAUUGAAUGCCAUCCUCUCAGAAGACUCAAGAUUAAGAUGACACCAGGAACAAUGGAAAGAUACAUGGCACAUGGGGCUGACUAGAGUUGGAGAUCAUGGAACUUAGAGAUCAAUCAUUUCUUGGAUAUCAUUCUGUCUAAUCUCCUCAUUUUACAGGCUGGGAUUGGUGGAGUCCUGCAGCCUGGCCAAUCAUAGAGGAGUGGCACAGAAACCAGGUAUAUCUUAUACUGAGUCCCUGAAGAAUUUCUUUCUGAAGACUUUCAUCGAUACAGAACCCAUUCACAUCGGAUGUAAGCUGAUCCAUUUUUAGACAACUCCGAUUGUUUUUUCCUAGUACAGAACUUAAAUCUGCCUUUUCAAGCCUUGCUGCUCUCCUCCUGCUGCUGUCUCACUUCUAGGUCUGCCCCUUGGGCCCAAGCACAGCAAGCCUGAUCCCAUUUCUACAUGAUGCUUAAACGCUUGGACACAGUUGCCAAGUGCCCUGACAUCUU